AUUGAACGCUGGCGGCAUGCCUUACACAUGCAAGUCGAACGGCAGCACGGGUGCUUGCACCUGGUGGCGAGUGGCGAACGGGUGAGUAAUACAUCGGAACGUACCCAGUCGUGGGGGAUAACGUAGCGAAAGUUACGCUAAUACCGCAUACGUGCUGACGGAGAAAGCGGGGGACCGUAAGUCUCCGCGCCAUUGGAGCGGCCGAUGUCUGAUUAGCUAGUUGGUGAGGUAAAGGCUCACCAAGGCGACGAUCAGUAGCUGGUCUGAGAGGACGAUCAGCCACACUGGAACUGAGACACGGGCCAGGCUCCUACGGGAGGCAGCAGUGGGGAAUUUUGGACAAUGGGCGAAAGCCUGAUCCAGCCAUUCCGCGUGAGUGAAGAAGGCCUUCGGGUUGUAAAGCUCUUUCGGCAGGAACGAAACGCUCUAGAUUAAUACCCUGGGGUAACGACGGUACCUGAAGAAGAAGCACCGGCUAACUACGUGCCAGCAGCCGCCGUAA
rnacentral:rRNA from 1 species